rnacentral:rRNA from 1 species
AUUGAACGCUGGCGGCAGGCCUAACACAUGCAAGUCGAGCGGAUGACGGGAGCUUGCUCCUUGAUUCAGCGGCGGACGGGUGAGUAAUGCCUAGGAAUCUGCCUGGUAGUGGGGGACAACGUUUCGAAAGGAACGCUAAUACCGCAUACGUCCUACGGGAGAAAGCAGGGGACCUUCGGGCCUUGCGCUAUCAGAUGAGCCUAGGUCGGAUUAGCUAGUUGGUGAGGUAAUGGCUCACCAAGGCGACGAUCCGUAACUGGGCUGAGAGGAUGAUCAGUCACACUGGAACUGAGACGCGGUCCAGACUCCUACGGGAGGCAGCAGUGGGGAAUAUUGGACAAUGGGCGAAAGCCUGAUCCAGCCAUGCCGCGUGUGUGAAGAAGGUCUUCGGAUUGUAAAGCACUUUAAGUUGGGAGGAAGGGCAGUAAGUUAAUACCUUGCUGUUUUGACGUUACCGACAGAAUAAGCACCGGCUAACUCUGUGCCAGCAGCCGCCGUAAUAC